rnacentral:misc_RNA from 1 species
CUACAGCAAAUGCAAACUGUGCAUGUAAGUUGAACUUCUGACCCUUAGUCGUUUCUUACCUGUAAUUGUAUAGUUGGUUCUCAUGGUUUCAGUUUAUUUUUUAUGUUCAAAACACAAUACUAGAAGAUUAUUUAUUGCUUUUCAGUUAAGGGUGAGUAGACCUGGCCAUUGGGCCAGUUCUUGGCCGGAACCAGCGGUUCAGGGUUGAGAAAUGGAAUGAACCGGAACUGGACCUUCCCUAGGUGGUUCCAGCCUGUUCCGGCUCAAGGUUCAGGGCUGUAUUAGAUAUGGUUCAUUGAUGGUUUUGGUUUUUGAGCAGUCUGGUUUGGUCCAUGUGGCGUCUCCUUGCGUCUGCCAUGUUGCCUUUUCCUUUAGAAUAAGAGAAAAACUGUUUGGGUUUGACCCGGAGCAGGCCUGGUCCUGAACUGGUCCCUGGCCAGGUCUAAGGUUGAGCCUAUGAAGCUCUGUUUGUGCUUGGCUCAUUUGAAACUCACAACUCUGCUCAUUUAAAUUUUGUAUAGCAUUCUGGAAACACAAUUGUAUAUGCUGCAAAUUACACGUUGUCCAGACGCAAAAUGAGGAAGGUGCUAAACUGAAAGGAUAAUGUACUCGAUUAUUUUUCCAAUACACUCGUGUACUCAUUAGUUAAGCACAAGGAAUGAGUUGAGGAAGUUGUGUAUAUUGGUUGUAGAAGUGAAAGUUUAAGUGUGCAAUAAGUAAAUAAAAGAAAGAUUAGGGGUUACAUAGGUUAAAAUAAAAGAUCAAUGCUAUGAGAGUUUUGUUGAAUAUGAAAGGAAAGGAUAGUUUUUAAUCCAUGGAUUAAAAAAGAAAAGAAAUGAUAGGUUAAGUAAUUUCUCAUGUUUGGAAAUUUCAUGGGAUGUGAAAGGAUUUAAUUAUUAAAGGUAGAAUAAUCAUAUUUAAAAAAUAUUGGUAAUGUUAAUGGGAAGGCAAAAUGGGUUUUGAAGGGAUAACUAAUCCCUCAUUUUUCUCUCUCUCUUUUUUUUUGAAUUUUUUUUUUUAAUAAAGUUGGCAGUGACAGUGGAAACCCACUGUCACACGCCAAAAUCCCUUUUUUUUCUUUUUUCUUUUUUUUAACUAUUGUUUAUUCUUGAAAUAACUAGAAAUAAUUUAAUGGUAAUUUAAAAAAAAUACUAAAAAAAUGUUACCAUUUAAACAUAAAUUCAAGUUACUCAAAUAUAAAAGAGCAUAAAUUUUGGAUUCCUAGUCAAUCCAAAUACGUCUUUACAACACUGAAGGUGCUUCCACCACUGUAAAUUGUUAGGUUAAACUUUAGGCAACAAAAAACGCAUGCAAUUAUUUGGAAGAUAAAUGACUGUUGAGAACCAAUAAGACUGGUUUUAGACGAUCAGACAUCAUUACAGCUCUUGAACAACUAAGCUAGACAUUUCAAAUCUACAGUAAACAGUUUCGAAAGCAUUUCAUUGCAAACUAAAUGAUUUUAGCACAACAAUAAUAAUCAACUUGAAAUGGCAAGUAAACAACAUUAUUUUCAAUAGAGGAUUUCCAUAUAUCACAAGGGUUUUUCUUAUGAAUCAUCAACAACCAAUGUUACAGAAUUGCAACAAAAAGUAGCUAACAAAUGACCAGAUAAAUUGCCAUCCCAUCCCAUCACAACACAAUUUAAAAAGUAAAAUUAGAGAAUAAUACCUUAUGUGUUGCUGGGAUACAUGA